UCUGAGUGCUUGCACUUGGAUGGACUGAGUGGCGGACGGGUGAGUAACGCGUGGGUAACCUGCCUUAUACAGGGGGAGUAACAGUUGGAAACGACUGCUAAUACCGCAUAAGCGCACAGCUUCGCAUGAAGCAGUGUGAAAAAACUCCGGUGGUACAGGAUGGACCCGCGUCUGAUUAGAUAGUUGGUGGGGUAACGGCCUACCAAGCCAACGAUCAGUAGCCGACCUGAGAGGGUGACCGGCCACAUUGGGACUGAGACACGGCCCAAACUCC
rnacentral:rRNA from 1 species